GCUAGCGAUGAGAGAAGCAAAGGCGUGGAUACCCACCUAGUAACUCCUGAGCGGCCUACUGAUGGAAAUGAAGCCGAGAAUCAACAUGGCGGGAAAAGGCGCCGGGGCCCUCGGACAACAACGCUCAUGACCCCAAGUCUCAGAAUAGGACCAACCGACACACCCAUCCAACCUACCAAUCAGCGGCACUAACAACUCUGAACCACCACAGCGUAAAC